rnacentral:rRNA from 1 species
GACGUAGGGUGCGAGCGUUGUCCGGAAUUAUUGGGCGUAAAGAGCUCGUAGGCGGCUUGUUGCGUCGGCUGUGAAAACCCGCGGCUCAACCGUGGGCUUGCAGCCGAUACGGGCAGGCUAGAGUUCGGUAGGGGAGACUGGAAUUCCUGGUGUAGCGGUGAAAUGCGCAGAUAUCAGGAGGAACACCGGUGGCGAAGUCGGGUCUCUGGGCUGAUACUGACGCUGAGGAGCGAAAGCGUGGGGAGCGAACAGG